rnacentral:rRNA from 1 species
AUGUCUUCCUCCAGUGCCGUCCAGUCGAACCUAAGUGGUCAGAUCACGGAGAAGCUCUCCCGGACGAACUAUGUCAUGUGGCGAACCCAGAUCACGCCGCAGCUAAGGGGAGCCGGGCUCUUCGGCUACGUCGAUGGCACCAUGCCAGAACCGACGCGCCUCCUCGUCUCCAAGGACAAGGAUGGGAAGGAAUCUUCCGAGCCCAACCCUCUCCACCCCAUCUGGGUCAAGGAGGACCAGCAGGUGCUGGGCUACCUGCUCAACAACCUCACCAAAGAGGUGCUGAUAAUGGUGACUGCGGUC